UACGAGUGCUCCAAGCGUUAUCCGGAAUCAUUGGGCGUAAAGGGUGUGUAGGUGGUCAUGUUAGUCUCGUGCUAAAUUCUUCGGCUUAACCGGGGGCUCGCGCGGGAAACGGCAUGACUUGAGGAUGGGAGGGGUGUGUGGAACUCAUAGUGUAGGGGUGAAAUCCGUUGAUAUUAUGGGGAACACCAAAAGCGAAGGCAGCACACUGGCCCACUCCUGACACUGAAACACGAAAGCGUGGGUAGCGAAUGGG
rnacentral:rRNA from 1 species